rnacentral:rRNA from 1 species
AAAACCUUACCNCCUUUGACAUGUACGGAAGUUGCCAGAGAUGGCUUCGUGCUCGAAAGAGAGCCGUAACACAGGUGCUGCAUGGCUGUCGUCAGCUCGUGUCGUGAGAUGUUGGGUUAAGUCCCGCAACGAGCGCAACCCUUGCCAUUAGUUGCUACGAAAGGGCACUCUAAUGGGACUGCCGGUGACAAACCGGAGGAAGGUGGGGNUGACGUCAAGUCCUCAUGGCCCUUAUAGGUGGGGCUACACACGUCAUACAAUGGCUGGUACAGAGGGUUGCCAACCCGCGAGGGGGAGCUAAUCUCAUAAAACCAGUCGUAGUCCGGAUCGCAGUCUGCAACUCGACUGCGUGAAGUCGGAAUCGCUAGUAAUCGCGGAUCAGCUUGCCGCGGUGAAUACGUUCCCGGGCA